rnacentral:rRNA from 1 species
GGAUGAACGCUGGCGGCGUGCCUACUACAUGCAAGUCGAGCGAACAGAUGAGGAGCUUGCUCCUCUGACGUUAGCGGCGGACGGGUGAGUAACACGUGGAUAACCUACCUAUAAGACUGGGAUAACUUCGGGAAACCGGAGCUAAUACCGGAUAAUAUAUUGAACCGCAUGGUUCAAUAGUGAAAGACGGUUUUGCUGUCACUUAUAGAUGGAUCCGCGCCGCAUUAGCUAGUUGGUAAGGUAACGGCUUACCAAGGCAACGAUGCGUAGCCGACCUGAGAGGGUGAUCGGCCACACUGGAACUGAGACACGGUCCAGACUCCUACGGGAGGCAGCAGUAGGGAAUCUUCCGCAAUGGGCGAAAGCUUGACGGAGCAACGCCGCGUGAGUGAUGAAGGUCUUCGGAUCGUAAAACUCUGUUAUUAGGGAAGAACAAAUGUGUAAGUAACUAUGCACGUCUUGACGGUACCUAAUCAGAAAGCCACGGCUAACUACGUG